rnacentral:rRNA from 1 species
CCUACGGGUUGCAGCAGUGGGGAAUAUUGGACAAUGGGCGAAAGCCUGAUCUAGCAGUGCCGCGUGUGUGAAGAAGGUCUUCGGAUUGUAAAGCACUUUCGACGGGGACGAUGAUGACGGUACCCGUAGAAGAAGCCCCGGCUAAUUUCGUGCCAGCAGCCGCGGUAAUACGAAGGGGGCUAGCGUUGCUCGGAAUGACUGGGCGUAAAGGGCGCGUAGGCGGUUUAUGCGGUCAGAUGUGAAAUCCCCAGGCUUAACCUGGGAACUGCAUUUGAGACGCAUAGACUAGAGGUCGAGAGAGGGUUGUGGAAUUCACAGUGUAGAGGUAAAAUUCGUAGAUAUUGGGAAGAACACCGGUGGCGAAGGCGGCAACCUGGCUCGAUACUGACGCUGAGGCGCGAAAGCGUGGGGAGCAAACAGGAUUAGAUACCCUCGUAGUC